GUGUAAUGGAUGUAGUGUUUGUGUGUAUUAGAUACUGUUUGUACAGUGAAUGCAGAGUGUGUGUUUGUGAAGCGGAUGCAGUGUGUAUAGUGAACGCAGAGUGUGUUUGAGUAGUGGCUAUACUGUGUGUACAGUGAUGUAGUGUGUGUUUGUGUAGUGGAUGUAGUGUUUGUAUGUACUAGAUGAAAUGUGUUUAGUGGGUGCAGUGUCUGUAGUGGAUGUAGUGCAUGUAUUAGACGCAGUGUCUGUGUAUAGUGAAUGCAGAGUGUUUCAAUGUGUGGUGGAUGUAGUGUGUGUACUGUGAAUACAGGAUGUUUGUGUAGUGGAUGCUGUGUGUACAGUUAAUGCAGAGUGUAUGUUAGUGUAGUGAAUGCAGAGUGUGUGUCAGUAUAGUGAAUCCAGAGUGUAUGCAUAGUUUAGUGAAUGCAGAGUGUGUGUUAGUGUGUAGUGUGUGUGUGUUGUGUUAGUGUAUGCAGUGUGUUGUGUUAGUGUAUGCAGUGUGUGUGUGUUGUGUUAGUGUAUGCAGUGUGUUGUGUUAGUGUAUGCAGUGUGUAUGCAGUGUUAGUGUAUGCAGUGUAUGCAGUGUUAGUGUAUGCAGUGUGUGUUGUGUUAGUGUAUGCAGUGUGUGUGUGUGUUGUGUUAGUGUAUGCAGUGUGUGUGUUGUGUUAGUGUAUGCAGUGUAUGUGUGUUAUUGUAUGCAGUGUGUGUUGUGUUAGUGUAUGCAGUGUGUGUUGUGUUGGUGAAUGCAGUGUAUGUGUUAUUGUAUGCAGUGUAUGUUGUGUGUGUUGUGUUAGUAGUGUAUGUGUGUGUGUGUGUUGUGUUAGUGUAUGGUGUGUGUGUUGUGUUAGUGUAUGCAGUGUGUGUGUUGUGUUAGUGUAUGCAGUGUGUGUGUGUGUG